rnacentral:rRNA from 1 species
UGAGGAGUGGCUUCCGGAGCUAACGCGUUAAGUCGACCGCCUGGGGAGUACGGCCGCAAGGUUAAAACUCAAAUGAAUUGACGGGGGCCCGCACAAGCGGUGGAGCAUGUGGUUUAAUUCGAUGCAACGCGAAGAACCUUACCUACUCUUGACAUCCAGAGAACUUAGCAGAGAUGCUUUGGUGCCUUCGGGAACUCUGAGACAGGUGCUGCAUGGCUGUCGUCAGCUCGUGUUGUGAAAUGUUGGGUUAAGUCCCGCAACGAGCGCAACCCUUAUCCUUUGUUGCCAGCGAUUCGGUCGGGAACUCAAAGGAGACUGCCAGUGAUAAACUGGAGGAAGGUGGGGAUGACGUCAAGUCAUCAUGGCCCUUACGAGUAGGGCUACACACGUGCUACAAUGGCAUAUACAAAGAGAAGCGACCUCGCGAGAGCAAGCGGACCUCAUAAAGUAUGUCGUAGUCCGGAUUGGAGUCUGCAACUCGACUCCAUGAAGUCGGAAUCGCUAGUAAUCGUGGAUCAGAAUGCCACGGUGAAUACGUUCCCGGGCCUUGUACACACCGCCCGUCACACCAUGGGAGUGGGUUGCAAAAGAAGUAGGUAGCUUAACCUUCGGGAGGGCGCUUACCACUUUGUGAUUCAUGACUGGGGUGAAGUCGUAACAAAGGUA